GCCACCACCUCUCAGGUCUCCAUGUAUAUACGGCUGGAUGUGCUUCCCUAGCCAUAAUUCUAUCCACCUAGGACCUUCCACCCGACUAGCCUACCUGACCCCUGACUCUGGCUCGUUUCUCCAGCUCAAUCUCUCAGGACUUGAGCAAGUGCAGAAGCCUUAUGUCACUGCUUCCUGUCUGAGGAUCUAAAACCUUCCAGAUCUCUGCUGGCCAGUUGCAGCUCCCCUCUGCAGAGAAGGGGACUGAAGAACUUUCUUUUACAGUCUCAGUUGCCCGGGGCUGCCUUUCCUGGGUGAGGAAAAUCCCUAGCUGAGACUCUCCUGUCAGUAAAUUCCUUCUGGAAAUGCA